rnacentral:rRNA from 1 species
AACGAACGCUGGCGGCAUGCCUAACGCAUGCAAGUCGAACGAGACCUUCGGGUCUAGUGGCGCACGGGUGCGUAACGCGUGGGAACCUGCCCUUAGGUUCGGAAUAACUCCCCGAAAGGGGUGCUAAUACCGGAUAAUGUCUUCGGACCAAAGAUUUAUCGCCUUUGGAUGGGCCCGCGUUGGAUUAGCUAGUUGGUAGGGUAAAAGCCUACCAAGGCGACGAUCCAUAGCUGGUCUGAGAGGAUGAUCAGCCACACUGGGACUGAGACACGGCCCAGACUCCUACGGGAGGCAGCAGUGGGGAAUAUGGGACAAUGGGCGAAAGCCUGAUCCAGCAAUGCCGCGUGAGUGAUGAAGGCCUUAGGGUUGAAAAGCUCUUUUACCCGGGAUGAUAAUGACAGUACCGGGAGAAUAAGCUCCGGCUAACUCCG